UACGUAGGGGGCUAGCGUUGUCCGGAAUCAUUGGGCGUAAAGCGCGCGUAGGCGGCCCGGUAAGUCCGCUGUGAAAGUCGGGGGCUCAACCCUCGGAUGCCGGUGGAUACUGUCGGUCUUGAGUGCGGAAGAGGCGAGUGGAAUUCCUGGUGUAGCGGUGAAAUGCGCAGAUAUCAGGAGGAACACCAAUUGCGAAGGCAGCUCGCUGGGACGUUACUGACGCUGAUGCGCGAAAGCGUGGGGAGCAAACAGG
rnacentral:rRNA from 1 species